rnacentral:rRNA from 1 species
UACGGAGGGGGCUAGCGUUGUUCGGAAUUACUGGGCGUAAAGCGCACGUAGGCGGCUUUGCAAGUUAGAGGUGAAAGCCCGGGGCUCAACUCCGGAAUUGCCUUUAAAACUGCAUCGCUAGAAUUGUGGAGAGGUAAGUGGAAUUCCGAGUGUAGAGGUGAAAUUCGUAGAUAUUGGGAAGAACACCGGUGGCGAAGGCGGCUAUCUGGACCGUAACUGACGCUGAGGCGCGAAAGCGUGGGGAGCAAACAGG